GACGAACGCUGGCGGCGUGCCUAAUACAUGCCAGUUGAGCGCUGAAGGUUGGUACUUGUACCAACUGGAUGAGCAGCGAACGGGUGAGUAACGCGUGGGGAAUCUGCCUUUGAGCGGGGGACAACAUUUGGAAACGAAUGCUAAUACCGCAUAAAAACUUUAAACACAAGUUUUAAGUUUGAAAGAUGCAAUUGCAUCACUCAAAGAUGAUCCCGCGUUGUAUUAGCUAGUUGGUGAGGUAAAGGCUCACCAAGGCGAUGAUACAUAGCCGACCUGAGAGGGUGAUCGGCCACAUUGGGACUGAGACACGGCCCAAACUCCUACGGGAGGCAGCAGUAGGGAAUCGUCGGCAAUGGACGAAAGUCUGACCGAGCAACGCCGCGUGAGUGAAGAAGGUUUUCGGAUCGUAAAACUCUGUUGGUAGAGAAGAACGUUGGUGAGAGUGGAAAGCUCAUCAAGUGACGGUAACUACCCAGAAAGGGACGGCUAACUACGUG
rnacentral:rRNA from 1 species